ensembl:lncRNA
CAUAGUCCCCUCUCUGUGCUGUAAGUGUAAGCAGGAUCUUGCAGUGUGGUGCUGAGAGCUGAAGGAGGUGCCUGAGGAAGAGAGAAAAACCGCAGGGAAAUGACAGCAAAGCCUUCUUUUAUAGAACAGAGAAUUACAGGCCAGCUGCAAGAGAGAGUGUAGCACUGAUACUGUUGGGCAGUAGAAGUGUUUGUGAAGACAGGACAUGAUACUAACAAGAGAGUGAUGUGUCCAAGUUUGUGUCCUUUUGAAGAUAAGUAGGAAGAAGAAAAGUGAGAAAAGAGAGAAGACAGGAAGAAAGGAAGAGGAAGAGGAAAAGGAAAAGGAAGAAAGAGGAAGAAAUCAAGGCAACAGAGGAGUAUCCUGUUAUUGCACUGUGAUCACAUAUGAAAGCUAUCAUGUUAAUAAAUCAAAAAUUCCCACUGUAGACCAUGGUAAAUGACUACUAUAUGAUUCAAUUUUAGUAGGAGAGAUAAAUAAUAGUGUAGACACAUGCAAUAGUAUUGCAACUAAAUAAUGGGUUGAAAUCAACUCUACAGCAAAUAUAUCUUACAAGCUGAAACAUUUGGGGAAACAUAAUCUGAAACACUGGAUUCACAGGAGUGAAUCACACAGAAAAUGGAAAAGAACUAUCUGCAAGGAAGCAGUAAUGCUAAAAGGACUUCUCUAACGAAAAGAUACAUUCUUGGUGUCUCCAGAGACUUGUGUUUCCAGAGACCGGUGUCUUAUGCAAAAGUGUAAAGGGAGAACUCAGCAAGACCAAAGUGGGGAGAAUCUCAUGAAGACUGACUACCUUAAUGACGUGCCUUUAUGGGCCACAUCUUCUCAUCUGUCUACCAAAUAAAGAAAGUACAGCAGUAGCCUAUGUUAUUGAAAGACUAGAAAACUCUAAGACUAAGAUGGUGCUGCAGUAGAGGGAGCAACGCUGGUCUGAAGACAGGAAGAAGCCCUGACAACCAGGCGUGAUAUACAGCAGAUGACUUAAUCACUUGACCACAUCUCAUACUCCAGAUGUUGCCUGAGGUUCUCAUGGACUUGCUACAAGCUGUUGCAGUCUCUCUGCUACUCUGUAACCUCACGUGCUCCCUUCAUCUCUGGGAGGUCUUUCUGGAAAACAAGCCCACCAAAAGGUACAUUCUUCAACUGCAAACACAGCUGCAUGAGAUCCCUCGUGUGUCUGAACUGCUUCCAGCACAGAAAACACUUUGCAAAUUCUCUGCAAAGAGAUUUACCACAGGAUACAAGGGUUUGAAUGCAACUCUUGAGCAUGUGUGUUUGGAAUAGGAUGGGUUUAUCCUUUGACAGGUCAGAAGAAGAACAAUAAACUUUAAAGACAGGCAUAUAAUUUAUGUUUGGACAUCUGGCUCUGUCAUGUGCUGUGAAGCUGAUUCUCAAUUGGGAAGCAAAGAGGCAAAAUUCACCCGAACCAGAAGGGUAACAAAGAAUAUGACUCAGAAAAGAACUUGUGUCUGUGUUUGCAUACUGCUUUUACUGGAACUUGCUUAAACACUGCCAAAUCAGGACUAAAAGCCACUGAAACUGACAGGCACUUCACCUCUACAGGGCUACCUACAUAAUUACACUAAUACCUUAUAAGAGAUUUAUUCCCCUCCUGAGGUAUGCAUUUUCCCUGGUGUUUUAGCAAAGCCUAUGACAGACAUUAUGAUGUGUUAAGUGAACUGCCAAAGAUCCAAAAUAGUUCCAGAUAACAAAGAACACUUUUUCUUUAACGUGCUUUAGAGGAGUAAAAUAAAUAUAUCUGGCAAUUUAAGAGCACCAGCUGAAGUGUUUAUGAAGUUGUACAUGAGCUAUUUGAUUGUAACAGU